CUACGGGUUGCACCAGUGAGGAAUAUUGCACAAUGGGGGGAACCCUGAUGCAGCAACGCCGCGUGGAGGAUGACGCAUUUCGGUGUGUAAACUCCUUUUAUAUGUCAAGAAAAUGACGGUAGCAUAUGAAUAAGCACCGGCUAACUCCGUGCCAGCAGCCGCGGUAAUACGGAGGGUGCAAGCGUUACUCGGAAUCACUGGGCGUAAAGGACGCGUAGGCGGGUUGGAAAGUCAGGUGUGAAAUCCUACAGCUUAACCGUAGAACUGCACUUGAAACUUCUAAUCUAGAGUAUGGGAGGGGGAGAUGGAAUUAGUGGUGUAGGGGUAAAAUCCGUAGAUAUCACUAGGAAUACCUAAAGCGAAGGCGAUCUCCUGGAACAUUACUGACGCUAAGGCGUGAAAGCGUGGGGAGCAAACAUGAUUAGAUACCCGGGUAGUC
rnacentral:rRNA from 1 species